CCGCCGACCCACCUCCAUUGCCAGGUUCAGGUCAGGCAUAUCGUCGCCGGCAACGCGUGCGCGGCGGAGGCAACUGGCGGCUACUCGGCUGAAGCACAGGUGGCACAGAAGGCUAAUCAGCACAGGUGGCUACAGCUGGAUAACAAAGCUUCAAGAGAUGCACAAUUUGAUUUCAGAAGAGAUUGUGGUAGUUACAGUUUUCAGUAUAACAAGCACAUACUCCCUCCGUCCGGAAAUACUUGUCGGAGAAAUGAAUGUAUCUAGACACAUUCUAGUUUUAGAUAUAUCCAUUUUUAUCCAUUUCUCUGACAAGUAUUUUCGGACGGAGGGAGUACAUGAUAUGUGGAUGCUUGAUCCAUUUGAUCGCUCAUUAUGUAAAUGUUGCCAGCUGGUUCCAUAGCUGGGAAGAGCAUGCACCUGUCUUUGGUUCACCACCCGAAUUGCUGAUCUUGGGCUGAUCAUGUCUGUUCAAUUUUGACAUACCCACUCUGAUGCGCAUAUAUAUGUUUAUGCAAUGUAAUCUUGUCCUUGAAACCUUCCCAAGAAAAUCUUGUCCUUGAAGAGAAAA